CGAGCUGGGAGCACGUCCUCUUUGCUGCUACGUACUGAACAGCUGCCCAUCUUAACCCCUAGCGACUGGGCGCGGCUCUGGCUUCCCCAGUAAAUUAACGCGCGCUCAACACAGCAUUCCGCGCCUAUCACUUUGCUCCCGGCAUAUCCUUGCCUUUGGGAAACCCACCCUGUUGGUAUUGGAGGGUGGGCUCCACCACCGAGGUACACCCCAGCCCAUUUUUUUUAGACAGGUCUAAGUUUCCCAGACUGAGAGGGGCCUAAUGGUGCACGUCUGCAACUCCAGCAGUCGGGAGGUUGAGGUAGGAUUGCGGAGUUCAAGGCCAACCCGGACUACACAUGGAGACCCUGUCUCAAAAAAACCUAAAACAAAGUGCCCAGUCUGGCCUUGAACUUGCAAGUUUCCUGGCUCAACCUCCUGAGUAGGUGGGGUUACAGGCUUGCACCACCCACCCUGCCUUUGUUUGGCUUAACCUAACCAGGAAAAUUCCGGAUUUUGUGUAACGUCCAAUUUUAUUUUGGAGAUGCAAAUAUUGCCUAGUUGUGACUAGGAAAAUCAUUUUAGUUGUUUCUGCCGUUUCUGAAUUGGAAAAUAUGCCCUAAGAGUAAUUGUGUUUGAGUUUAUAUGUAAACACUUUACAAAGAGUUUCUGGCAGAUAGUGAACACCACAUACAAAUUUAUUAAAGGCACAAAUAGGCAAGUCAGCUUGAGAAAACCAGUAAGCAAAGGGUCAGAAUCUCAAGUCCACUGUCACUGCUCUUCACUCAGGGCGCUAAUCCCAACGCCCUUGCUGUCUACUUUUAGGGAGUAAACAAAAACAAAGCUCCUCUUCCACCUCUUGGGCUUCUCUCAGCCCCCUAAGGCCCAUGAUCUCCUAGCAUGUCACCCCCUCUCCUCACAGUGAUUAAGGGGCAAAAAUUAAAA